rnacentral:rRNA from 1 species
AGGAAUAUUGGACAAUGGUCGCAAGACUGAUCCAGCCAUGCCGCGUGCAGGAAGACGGCCCUAUGGGUUGUAAACUGCUUUUGUACCAGAGAAAACCUAUCUACGUGUAGAUAGCUGAUAGUAUGGUAAGAAUAAGCAUCGGCUAACUUCGUGCCAGCAGCCGCGGUAAGCCGAAGGAUGCAAGCGUUAUCCGGAUUCAUUGGGUUUAAAGGGUGCGUAGGCGGGCUUGUAAGUCAGUGGUGAAAUCUCUCAGCUUAACUGAGAAACUGCCAUUGAUACUGCAGGCCUAGAGUAUAGAUGACGUUGGCGGAAUAUGACAUGUAGUGGUGAAAUACUUAGAUAUGUCAUAGAACACCGAUUGCGAAGGCAGCUAACGAAACUAUAACUGACGCUGAGGCACGAAAGUGCGGGGAUCAAACA